UAUUAAUUAUAUUACUUUGGCAGAUUAGUGUAAUGAAUUUAGAAUUCAUAAAAGUAAAUAUUUACAAGUAAUAC
rnacentral:tRNA from 1 species